GUGCUGUUUGCUCAAGGAACGCCAGUGUGCACCGUAUUUGCCCAUGUGUACACCAAUCUUAGUCUCUAGUUAUGUAACAAAACAACACAAAUUCUUCUUGUGCUCAUGUUUUAGUUAAGAAAAUCUGUUUCAAAAUAAUCCCUUAUAGGGGUAAAUAUAGUUGAGUUACUAACAAUGAAGACUGUCACGCAGAGAUUUGGAAGCGGUGCAGAGGAACUCUCUGUGUGAGAGGAAAGCCAAAAAAAGGCUAAAACCUCAGAGUUUUGGAAGGGGAACAGAGCAUCUGGCAAGAACAGUGCACCUAGUGCAAGCCAAGAAUACAGAGCUGCUGAUUAUGAAAGAUCUUGUUUAUUUAAGAACGACCAAAUUGCUUCUCUGAGCCCCAGGUCGUGAUCUUGCUCCAGCAUGCCCCUGGGAGCCGUUCUGAAGCUUUCUCUCACCUGCCAAAAACUAUAGUCAGACAUACUGUCCCUUACGGAUAUUGGGCUCUGUGUGAUUACACCAGAACAAUUCUGGUUUCACUAUGCCUUUUUCCACCAUUCAUAAGUAUUCUUUUUCAUUUCCGUACAUGUGGGUGGCAAUAUAGAUGUUUCUUCACACUUCUGCCUAGUAUUUAAGAUGCAUUUUCUGUUAUUUAAUGAAUAAGUCCUCUCUUCUUCAACAUUUGAAUGGCAUCUGUGCUCUCAGUGCAGUAGUUAAUCACAUCUGAUCUUGGCAUGCUUCAAAUUUAAUUGAGCUUUAAAAAAUUGCAAAAGUAACUUGGAUUUUCUACCAAAAAAAAAAAAAAAAGAAAGUGGCUAUAAAUUCCUGAAGCUUAAGUCUCUGGUUAGUCUGAGACACCAUGUGGAGACCUGGCACAGAAACUCCUUCCACAUCAUCUCUCCAGCAUCACACAGGCUAGUGUAAGAGAUUAUGCUAAGAGUAAAGUUCCUGUCUGGCAGUCUCAGAGUGGAGACACAAGCUGCUUCCUCUCUGUUUUAACACUAGUACGGCAAUGUCUCUAACUUGCAAAAUGUAAAUUGGCUUUAACGGGAAUUUGCCUGAAUAAGGACUUCAGGAGCCUUGCUUAUGGAAAGGUGCAAAGAUUGGAAGGAUGGGAAAUUGAUUCUCAAAAAAUCAGCUACACAAAUACUUUUAAUACAACAUCUAAUGCAAGGAUCUGCAGAGGAAGCCUCCAAGUUUCUCCAUUACAUGAGCGGUCAGAGUCUUCUUGAGUUCUGGAGAUUCUGUCAAAGACAAACUUUCCUGAGCCUGGGAUUUGGAGCAGUUGCACAUGCCCUUGCAAGAGGAGAAAACAGCAUCAGCUUUGUCAUCAUCAGAACUAAAUGUCUUCAGGUUUAAGUACAUGUUUGCAUUUGUGUACAGCUUAGUAUCUGUUCAUUCAAAGCACAUCCAGACAAUUUUUAAACCAUUAGGCAAGGAAUAGUGUGCAAGUUAUUAAUAGAGAAGCUUAAUUAAUAUUAAAAAAAUAUUUUGGGUUUUAAAAAAUCUGGGACUUCAAGGUUUGUUGUUUUUGGUCUUAAUGAGCAGGUUACUUAUCACUGUUUCAACAUAUAGGCUCUAUACAUGUAUGUAUUCUUUUCUGCCACAAUAACUACUAUUAAAUGCAAUAAAUGUUAAGGCAUUAAUACUCAGUGUAUCUUAUUGAUUCUGGUUUAUCAAGAAAUCCAUGUUGACUUGUUUUCCUUCCUUUUGAGUUAAGAAGUGGGACAAUCUGAAGCUAGAAAUUUUUUAAAACUGAAAUAUGUUGAAGUAUAUGCUUCAGCACCAUAAGUCCCUUUGUCCCUUUUGAGGUCCCUUCCAAUCCCCGGUGUUCCGUGAUUCUGUGUACUGUAGACCUUUCUGCUGCCUUUGCUAAGCAGUAAAGUUUUAUCAUAUUUACUAAAAAUCUGUUGAUGAAAGAGUGAUAUACUGUUUGCACUAAUGGAAGGCAAAGCUGGCAACUUACAUGGAAGAUGUUCCUGUACAAUUGAUGGAAUCACAGAACUAUCAGCAUCAGAGACAGGAUAAAUCUAUGGGUUUGACAAUAUAAAGUGGGUAGCAGAAAUGUCGGAGAAUGUUUUUCUAUUAGACAUCUUUUGAAUAACUAAAUAGAAGAUUUAGGUCAGUAGUACACACUAGUUGAUUGAAACUACUGCUUUAUAGCAUUAUAUCUUAUAGAAGCAGCAUCUUCUAGAGGAAAGCAAAUUAACAUCCAUUUCAUUGACACUUUUGGGGCAAAAAGGUUACUUUAAAAUACUAUUGAAAACACCUGAUUGAUGCCAUCUCUGUAUUUAUUUAUAUAGGUACACAAAUAUUUUCUGUGUAGACAAUUAUUGCAGUUCUUCGGAGGUGAGGAUAUGCUUUCCUCCUAGUUUCAUAGAACUUAGAAUAAUGUAUUAAAAAUCUUUGCUGUGUGUGUUUUCCUCUGAAGGUUGUGUAUUCAAUCACUUUUUAGAAGCUUCUGAUUAGUAGAAAGCAAGUAGAAAGCAAGUAGAAAGCAAGUUUUCCUUGACAAAAAAAGUUUAGGAAAAGCUACUGAAUCAGUUUUCUUGCCUUUUUGUUCUUGUUGUUGUUUUUGUUUUAUACUAUUUAAAGUUCAGGAGUUUUCACUUGCAAAGCACUGUCAUUGUGCUACAAAAAUUUCAUAAUAUUAGUUUGUCACAGUGCAAAUGAUGUUCUCUCCUUACUAACUCACAGCAGCCCAGUUCGUACUUUAUAGAAUAGCACCAACCCCCACACCCUUAAAUGUUACCGACAAGUUUUACAAUAGUGUUGUAAGCACUACAUAAUAAACAGGCAGAUGUUUUCUUAAAAAAUAUUUCUGAUUUUUUUUCAUACAGACUCUGUGCCUGACAGUUUAUACUGCAAAUGUCUUGCAGAGUCCAUAAUAACAUCUGUACUUCACAGUGGUUGAAAAGACAUGUGAGAAGGGCAUGCCUGUGGGCUAGAAAGGUCAUUCUGUUUAAGAAAGGUGAGAUGCCUCCUCUGUGACUGUGGAGAAAUGCUCUUGGUUCCAGAAAAAUUGUAUUUAGCAGGUGAUGAUAUCAAAAGGUGGUAUACUACAGGAAAAUAAAAGGGUUUUCUUUCUUCUGUAUUAAAAUGGAUGCAGUGUAUACCUUUAUUUUUGUAAGUAAUUGAUCCUUGAAAACUUUUUCCUGUGAUUUUUUUAAACUUAUGUUGCAUUUACUCUGCUUAUACAGUAGGCAGCAGUGCCUAGAAAGUGUAAUUAUUGUGUAUUUCUAGUUUACUUCAAAUUUUGAUUCAAUCAGAAUCCCUAAAUCUGACAACCUAUAAUCAAACAAAGGGAGUACUCUAGUAGGUGGGGAUUAACAGAAGGGAAUUAAACUGUCAUUUUGCAACAGCUUAGACCAAUAUGAAAGCUCAUUUAUGAGUCUCUCAAUAAAUAUCUCUUUUGUUUUGUCUAAUUGUUGGUUUGAAUGUAUCAGACUCAUCAAUGGGAUUAGGGUUAAUAGAUGUUUGGUCACGCAUAACAUGCAGAGGAGGAAUCUGAUACACACACACACAAAAAUUGCACUUAAUGAGCUUAGCAAAUGUUUGCCAUAUUUUUAAUGAACCCUGGGGCUGUCAUUUAGAAAUGCUUAGCAACUGCUUUUCCAUCCUUGAAAAUGGAGCAACUGAAGGACAUUAACACUAUGUACACCAUAAAUAAAGUGAGCUAUUUAAAGAUGCCAACUGGGAGGUGGGAACGAUGACAUUUUACUUAACACUUCGUGUGUGUGUUAGAUCUUUCACAAUCCAGCCGGGCAUCUCUAGUUUCCUACAGGGAAUGGGUAUGAGUGUUUGAGGGAUAUCAAAUAGCUGCCUUAAAAAAAAAUUAAAAAAGUUAAACCUGUUUAUGAUACAGCUUUCAAAAUAUUUCUUCCCUAUUUUUUUUUUCUCAUGCUCAUCUUAUUGCCAAAUACUUGCAGAGAGGAUUUUAAAAAAACUCGAACAGAUUAUAUGUUUGCAUCAUCUGCUCCCAAGCUUAUCUUUCUGCCUUUGUCAUUAAGCGAAAUGCUUUCUUAAACAAGUGAUAUGGAAAAGAAUGAGUAUACUCUGGGGGAUUCAUUGUACAGUAGAUUUAAUGAUCCAUUCAUUAGCCUCUGGGACCUGUGCCUAAACCAAUGCAGGCUGAUUAAUGGGAAAUUAUUGGAGCAAACCAUGUGUCAUGUGUUACAGUUAUUUUGACUGGACGUAACAGAAUCAGGUUUUUUUUAAAGAAGGGCUUGAUUUGAUAUAAUAAUGCAAAAAGUGCCAUUCAGACGGAUUAUGACUAGAAGAAAUGAAUGCUUUUUAAGACUUCAGUUGCCAUAGAGGCAGCAGAUCUAAGAUCUUUUGUCUGCACACAGAAAUCUUUUGAAACAUCAGCUCUCAAGACCUUGGAUGAGGAAAAGAAUCUGAAAACUGAACUGGCCUUUAAACACUUGUUCCUGCUGUGAUCAGUCAAAGCAGACCCUGCUGUGUCAUGUGGGUAACCCUUUUCAAAAUCUGAAUAACUGAGAAAAAACAAUAUCAUUAGCUUAGAGAGUUCACAGAUGUCAUCAGACAGGGCUGUGACUACUGAAAACUUGUGUUUCACUAUCUCAUUUUUACUUAGUGCGGAAAAGGAGACUUGCAUACCAUUUCUGCUAUACUGAAGUGGACGCCUCAGUGUAAAAUCAGAGUGGGUUUAAAAAGGAGAAAAAAAAAAAAAAGAAAAAGGCUGUCUGACAUCUUUCAUCUUGUAAUGCAAAUGUGAAUAUAAACAGUGCGGGAAUUCAAUAAUUACGUCUUUAAUUUCCAAGAGGGACCAAGGCCCUUCUAUCUCAUUCUGCUUUUAGUUGAUAUAUUAUCCUUCUUGAAAUUAGAGUGGGAAAUAUGAUGACUAUCCUCACCACCUUAACUUUGACUUCCCAGCACACAUUUUUAAAAAAAUCUGGAAACAAUCCUUUCUGCUUUUAAUUUGUAAAAUAUUUCAUUCAGGGAACUAAAUAACUCUGAAGUUCUCUGUUGGUGUGCAUACAUGUUUUCCUCUAGCCUGAAAUCAGUUCAAGACCACUUACACCUGGAAAUGUUUUCAUAUGAUAGUCAAACUAUGCUCUAUACAGAAGUAUUUGGCCUUAUUUCAAUUCUCUAUGAAGAGGUAUUCACCUUACAAAAAACUGCCUCUAUGUUAUUUCAUUUGUGUUUAUGUAAAAUAGAUAACUGAGCUGUUACAGGCGUGUGCUGCUCAAAAGCAAUAAGAAGCCUUGGAGCUGAUAUGAAGUGCUAUCGUUAUUCACAGUUCUACAGGCUAUGUAUUCUGUUUGGGUUUUUUGGACAGGGGAAUUUAGAAUGCAGCUGGUAUCAUCAUUGGUAAUGUAGUUUUGCUGCCUUAUUUCUGAUGUGCUUUAUUUUUUUGGAUCAAUUUCACUUAUGUUUUCUCACUUACAUUUUUAUAUAGGAAUUUUAUAACUAAAUAGCAAAAUCUUCACAUUUCUUAAACUCCUUGGUGUAUUUAUUGCUUCAUCAUACUUUAGAAAAUAAUCUAAGACUAAACUUUGACACUUUAUAUGCAAAAUACAGUGUGCAUUUUCAGCCAUAAUUUUAAAGAGUUUUUCUGACUCUUACAAGGAGAAAAAGCUUUUUGGUUUACAAAACCUCAAGGAGGGAAGAUACAUUCUGACACCAAAUCUAACUUCGUCACUGCUUUUGUUAUUCUGAAUAACAGAUACCAAAAAGAUAAUAAAUACCAGGAAAGAAAAAAAGGCAAUGCUGAUGGUGGAAGCAAGUUCAGGAGGGAUUUAACUGACUGCGUGGCACCAAGGAAGAAGCAGGUGUUGAGCUGCUUGGGGAAUGUCCACACACAUGAGCAGCAUAAAUCUCUCACCAGAACAACAUGACUGUCAGGGAGAAGGUAGAUGACAACACAGGGUGUAUCAAAAUAGAAGAUGAACACAUCAAGCCUGGGGGAGACCAGGAAUGUUUCUGUGAAAACUUAUGACUUCUGUACUGUAGCUAUUUGCUUGGAGGUAAAAUUAUAGGGAAACUAUUUCUUGACUUCACUGUUUGUGCUGAGAAAGGGUAGUAGUGCAAUACACUGCCUUUUUUGAGUUGAAUUUGCUGCAGGACAAUGGAAAGUGGCAGUAGGCUGCUGCCUGGUGCCUCAUGCUGCUGUUGCUACAGAAGUCACAAAGGGAGGCAGGGAGGGUGAUCAUUGUUAGCACAGGCAAUUCUGUACUAAAGCAAAAGGCAUUUAUUUGGUUGUGGUCUCCUGCUCCGUUCCAGCAUUUUUUUAUUUUCUAUACAGCCUCAUGCAAAUCCACAGAAAGGACUGCAGGGCUUCAACCCUGAACUGGUGCUCCAUGUGAGGAAGAACUACUAGCUGGUUAAAAAAAAAAAAAAAAAAAAAAAAAAAAAAAAAAAAAAAAAAAAAAAAUUGUAAA